rnacentral:rRNA from 1 species
AUUGAACGCUGGCGGCAGGCCUAACACAUGCAAGUCGAGCGAGCGGCGGACGGGUGAGUAAUGUAUGGGGACUGCCCGAUAGAGGGGGAUAACUACUGGAAACGGUUGCUAAUACCGCAUACUGUGGGAUACCCCUUUGGUGAUUAGCUAGUCGGUAAGGUAAUGGCUUACCUAGGCGACGAUCCCUACCUGGUCUGCGAGGAUGAUCAGCCACACUGGGACUGAGACACGGCCCAGACUCGUACGGAGGCAGCAGUGGGGAAUAUUGCGCAAUGGGCGAAAGCCUGAUGCAGCCAUGCCGCGUGAAUGAAGAAGGCCCUCGGGUUGUAAAGUACUUUCAGUCGGGAGGCGGUACCGAAAGAAUAAGCACCGGCUAACUCCGUGCCAGCAGCCGCGGUAAGUC